rnacentral:rRNA from 1 species
GGGAGCCCUAGCACAGGUGCUGCAUGGCCGUCGUCAGCUCGUGCCGUGAGGUGUUGGGUUAAGUCCCGCAACGAGCGCAACCCCGCCGUUAGUUGCCAGCGGUUCGGCCGGGCACUCUAACGGGACUGCCCGCGAAAGCGGGAGGAAGGAGGGGACGACGUCUGGUCAGCAUGGCCCCUACGGCCUGGGCGACACACGUGCUACAAUGCCCACUACAAAGCGAGGCCACCCGGCAACGGGGAGCUAAUCGCAAAAAGGUGGGCCCAGUUCGGAUUGGGGUCUGCAACCCGACCCCAUGAAGCCGGAAUCGCUAGUAAUCGCGGAUCAGCCAUGCCGCGGUGAAUACGUUCCCGGGCCUU